UUAGAUAAAGACUUAGAAAAUGGAAGCACAGCCUCAUGUGUCAAUGUUGAAAGAGAAAUUGGAGAAUAUUGACAUUAGGCCAAUAGAAAGGUGACAAAGAAGAUAAGAAUGUUUGACAUUAGGGAAGUAGACAAAAUGUGGGUAUAUGAAAUUUGGGAGGAUAUGUUGGGAAUUUUUUUUUUUUUUUAAAAAAAAUUAUGUUAAUUAGCAAGCUAUGAGGAAUUUGAUAAUGGGGUUUUUUGUUGAACAAAAAAAUGGGAGGUUUGGAUGAAGAAGAAACCAGUUUGAGAGCUGAAACCGACUUGAUAUUGGGGUUAGAUGUCAUCAUUAAUGAGAGGAAAUGCCGAUCGUACUAUAUAAGAAAGAAGUCAGAAUGUUUGAUCAAUGAAAAGAAGGAAGGCAAGGUCACAAAGGAAGUGGAAAAAAAAAAAUCCAAUUUGGCGUUUAGAAUUUACUUCAAAAUGUGAUAUAGUAUCAGAAUAUUAAUGGCAUUGAUGAUUGAGGUCUUGGUUGUCGAACCAGAAAUGGUGGGUUGCGUCUUUUAUACGAUAAAGGGGCCUGGAUUUGAGCUAUGACUAGAUUGGGAAAAGAGAAAGAAAGUUAGAUCAUUCACUGUUCAAAUUCAUUCUCUCACUGCCUUGGUUUUGCAGUGGAUCUGUCAUUGUAGGUUUGUUAUCUAUGGCUUCUCUGUUGCCUUCUUUCUCUUCCUUGGUUCUUGUUUAGGCUUCAUGAAGGUAUCAAUGAAGAAAGAAAAAUGGUGUCCAAUGAGAUUGAGAUCUACUUGUCUUGCCCUGUCAGUGGUCAACACUUCCUUUCACCAGGCCUCUAAUUAUGUCUUGUUUAACUUUGCUUUAAUGCACAGUAAUCAGAUCACAGAAAGAUAGUGUUCAUGUAUGAAUUGCUCACGAAAGAGCUACCUUUGGUUUGAUGUGUCGAUGAAGUUAGCGGACAGUGAGCAGAUGCAGAUGAAUUCUUCAAUGAGGUAUGGAUGCAUUCCUGAGAACAAGAGCUUUAACGCAGACGACUCGAUCUGUUGGAAGCGAUACCAUGAACUUCAACACAAUAGUCAUAAGGCAUGCAACUUUUAUAUUAAGUCCACCUCUUUGAGAAGGAUCCAAUGAACGGAAGAUAUCAAGGGCACCUGAAGUUUAUAAUUUUGGAGGAAAAUGUUUGUGUAAAGUAUAGAAAAGCCGGUCAAUGAACUCGCACUUGAAGGUGAUUGGAAUGAGAAAAUAUCUAAAAAGAAUUUGGUUUCCACUCAAACUCCUUGUGGGUCCUAAAGCUGCUGUGAAAUGGGAUGAUGAAACUCACACAGUUCAAACUUUUGUUGAACUCGUAGUUGCACCAUGUUCUAUUCCACUUCUGAUCUCUUUGUAAAUUGAAGAUGAUUGCUUAAAAACUGAAGUUCAAUCAAAUUAAAGUAUUCCAUACUCAA